GCCUGGGUGGCUCAGUGGUUGAGCAUCUGCCUUUGGCUCAGGUCAUGAUCCUGGAGUCCUGGGAUCGAGUCCCACAUCAGGCU
rnacentral:tRNA from 1 species